UCGACCGCAGCGACGGUGAGUUGCAAACAUGGCUGGAGCCGGCAGGUCUGGUGGGUCGGUAUUAAGCCAAUUGGCAUAUUCUUUAGGAGCCCCUGAACCAGCACUUCGUUUAUUGGUGUCAAUUCUGUUAGGUUAUCCACUGGCUUUAAUACACAGAUACACUUUGUUUGGACAACUUCAAUAUCAACACCUCUUUUUUGUAGUGAGUGGUUUAAGUAUUGGAUACUUCAAUUAUGGUUGGGAGAUUUUACAUUCAGUCACAUCAGUGUUGGUUGUAUAUGGCAUCUUGAGAAUCAUUGGUGGCACAUUAAUCUCUGUCAUAUGUGUCUUUAUAUUCACAAUGGCCUAUCUUCUAGCUGGUUAUUAUAUGACUGGCACAGAAACAUAUGAUAUUAAAUGGAGUAUGCCACAGUGUGUCCUCACACUACGAUUAAUUGGCUUAGCAUUUGAUCUCUUUGAUGGGAAGAAGCUGGAUGAGGAACUGUCCCAAGAACAGAAGAAGACAGCGCUGUCCAAAAUACCAUCUUUGCUUGAGGUUGCUGGAUACACAUAUUUUCCAGCUAGUUUCCUGGUUGGCCCACAGUUUCCCAUGAAAAGAUAUCAAGACUUUGUUGCUGGAAUUUACAGACAUGGGACAGAGACUCUCCAGACUAAAGAGCUGCCAGAUUGUUUGGUGCCAGGACUGAAGCGUGGAGGUCUAGGUUUUGUGUACCUUGGCCUGUAUCAAAUUGGAACAUCAUUCUUUCCAGAUUGUUACUUAUUGGGUAAUGAGUUUCAGGAGCUACCAUUUUGGAAGCAGUGUUUAACACUUGGUAUCUGGGGCAAGAUCACAUUAUACAAGUAUAUUUCAUGCUGGCUUAUCUCAGAGGGUGUGUGCAUCAUAGCGGGUCUGACGUACAAUGGCAAAGACUCGUCAGGCAAACAUCAGUGGGAUGGUUGUGCCAAUGUUAAACUUCGAGUCUUCGAGGGAGCCUCCAAAUUUGGGCAUUACAUCGCUUCAUUCAACAUCAAUACCAACCACUGGGUGGCGCAGUAUAUAUACAAACGCCUGAAGUUCCUGGGAAAUCGCUAUAUAUCGCAGGCAGCAGCACUUAUAUUCCUUGCAGUUUGGCAUGGCCUGCAUUCCGGGUACUACAUGUGCUUCUUACUUGAGUUUGUUAUAAUGAAACUCGAGAAAGAUUUUGAGAAAAUGCUAGAACAAAGUGAGGUGAAAGAAUUUCUCAAUCACGUUGCACUCCGCCCCGUCACAUGGUUAUUGCUGAAGCUGUAUACGUUUGUGUUUAUGGGAUACUGUCUGGUUCCAUUUGUACUGCUAUCGUAUUCACGCUGGAAUCAUGUGUAUGCAUCUGUUUACUAUUUUGGUCAUUUUGUGUUCUUCCCUUGGCCAGUCUACUCACCGUUUGUGAGGAAACUGCUGAAGUUAUGGAAUCCAAGAAGAGCUCACCAAGAGUGAAAAUAUAUGGCAGCAUGAUCUCGAAGAGCAAGGAGUCGAAGACCAACAGUUUCCACCAAGAAGGACAGAACUUAGAGCCAAGGUGAAUUUGAAUUAGGACCAGUGCAUCAAGGUGAUACCUCAUCUGAUAUAAGACACAGUGUUUGCCUUUCAACGUAAUUUAGUCAUCAGUGAAUAGGAACCUGCAUUCAAGCACAGAACAAAUUAUUUUCAGAGCUUGUAAUCUUAUUCACCAGAUUGCAUGUGUGCCAAUAUAGUAUUCCAGUUUUAAUUUCUAAAAUUUAGCAUUGAAGGUGUGCAGUAUGCAUAAUGAUGAACUCUCAUUAAUAUGUGGAUUUUGGGUCUACACUGAUCAGUUUAUGGCUUUCUUCCAAAAGUAACAACCUUUGUUGUUAUGCAUAAAUGCACCUUAGAAGUUACUCUGUUAUGUGCUACUAGUGUACCUUUUUUUGUCCUUACCAAGUUAGUUUUUCUUCUUGUGAUUAACAAAAUUUAAUGAUACAUGUUUCUAUUUGACCAUGACAAGCAUGUUCAGCAUAAGUUAUGAAAAUAAGAAUUGUAGCAUUCUUGAAUGAAACAUUUGUUUUUUCCUCUGCUCCUUCAUUUAGUUUAUACUUUCUUUCAUAUUAUGUUAUGUGAGUGCUUACUGUAUAGUCGUUUUGUUUCAUACAAGACGUAAACAGAAUUGCAAAAGAGAACAGGAUGUCAGAAGUGGGUGCAUUUUGAAUACAAGUUUGUUCAGAUGCAACCAAUCUGUGGCACUGCUAGCAAAUACACACCAACAGUCAGCUAUGAGCUGUGUAACAGCACAAGUACAUUAAAGCAAAUGGGCAUAAUGUGAUACAUUUAAAUGAUGGCAUUCCAGGUAUAGAGUCUGCCCUAAUAGGACCAUUGAGUUAUUAUUUAGUUGCCUCAGUGAACCAAUAUCUUUUGAACAGCCCUCAUACGUAUAUUAUUCUUUAAAUCCAUUUUAAUAUAUGAUGGUUUUGUAUUAUGAAGAUAAAUGUUAUAUUAAAUAUUCAUUUCAUUUGUGGCUCCUGUCUGAACAUUUGUCUGAAACUUCCCUCAGCCUUCUUAGUAUUUGGAGAGAUAAAGAAUCGCUAUAGAAAGUUGUAGCCAUCUGUUUUGACUGGAACUCAGUUUUCCUCACAUAUUGCAGUGAGUACUAAAAGUACCGGCUGACAUUAAUAAAAAUGUAUUCAUAUUCAAGUCUUUACAUAUAACUGAACAGCUAAUCUAAUAUUUGCUCAGAUAUUGCAAAUGUAACUAAGAAGUUGGAAAAUGUAUAUAUAGUGUAACAAUUAUGACAAGUUUGCUGUAUCAUUUUCAAGUUUUUUUUUGGUUUUUUGCAUGCUAACUUUUCAUUCUCUCUUAUAAAUAGCAUAAAACAGGUGGGGACAGAGUUAAAAGGAUUGAUGGACAUGGACCCCUUUUGUUAUCUCAAAAACUGUAAACAUGUGUUGCCACAAGCAUCCAGAAUUCCAGGUGCUUUCCUUUACAAUACAGUUGUGUCUGUGGCAUUCAUGUAUUCUGUGUACUAUGCUCAGUUAUAGAAAUUGUGGCAAUGGGAAUAGAAGUUAAAGACCUACAUAUUAGGAAAGACGUUCUGUGCGUAUUUGUUUAUUUAUACAUAAUCCUGAAAGUCUCAUUUGUGGAUUUUUUUUCCAUUAUUUGCUUCCUGUGUUGACCAAUUAAUUUUGAAAAUCUGAAGAACUAUAUUACGCUCUUAGGCAUGAAGGAUAUAGUAAUGAUACUGAGAACAUAUGCAAAAUAGUACCUAGGAAUUAUAGUUAUGCAUGCAGUGAUCAUUAUGGAGAGAAUAUAUGUACCCAUCUGCAUAAACAUCACAUCACAAAACAUCCUGGUAUCCAGGAAUGUCUAAGCUCUCAUGGGUUCUCAUAGAAAAUAUGAUAUAUGAACAUUUUUUUCUGUGUGUCAUAAAGAUGGUGAGCAAAAGCUACCAUUAGCCUUUGCUAAGUUACUUUCAUCUGUCCUGACAUAAAAUCCAUUGAGCACUUCUAGUAGUUUGUAGCUCUCAGUGGUCUCGAUAAGUUUAAUUUGAUACUUCCUCUAUUCAGGUCAACAGCAGAGUUCAGGUUUCUAUUUUUAAACCAGAAAAAUAACUAUCUUUUGUGAUGUAGAAAUUCCAGUUUAAUUUCCUGUAGUUCCCACACCAUAAUGUUUUUUAGACUUUGUUUAUUAAACCUCCACCGUUUAUUUAUAUAGCAGUGUUUUUAUUAUGCAGAAAAAACAGGAAGAGAACACCUCAUGUUUAUGUUCCUUGAGAAAAAAUUAUUCUUUGUGCUUGAUUUCAAAGUAGGAUAUUUAGUAUAGCUGGAGUUCUUUGUGUAUAUAAUUGAAAUUACCAUAAUUUGGAGAAAGGAAUAUUAUUGUUUUGUCCCUUUUCAUUGAUAUAAACAAACAAAAAUCAUUACCGGUUCAGUCAUAGUGGCAUACAAUUCUCUUGUAUAAGUGGUCGUACUUGUUACAGAAAUAAGUGGUCAUACUUGUUACAGAACAUCUCAGGUCUCCACUUCUAGAUCAAACAUUUGAAACUGUAAAUGUGUUUGAUGUUCGAUUGCUGAAGCAUCAUAUUUUCAUAAAUUGCCAUGUCAGAACUGUUUAAUGUUUGUUUUCAUCCACAUGAAGCACUGAAUGAGCAAAUAGUGAGGCAACUCAUGUGUAUGAAGUAAAAUUAUAAUGUAGGGCAAAAGCCGUAGUCUGUACAUUGCAAAUGGUGGCUGAUAGUUUGUCCAAAGUGUUUGACUAGUUAUUCCAUUAAAAAAUAGCAUAUAGUAAAGGAAACAAACAUGUAUUUAAAAUAACUAUACAGUUAUAUAGUAGGCGGACAAGGUAAGUGCAGUUGUAAAAUUAAUAAUGUAUCCAUAUCACAGAAACAAAAUAAAGUAGCCAGUAUGUGAUAGAUAACUAUUGUAUAAUCUUAUAUUUAAGCAUCCUGUUGCACUCUACACGA